GAAGGUAUCCUCCUGGCCAUGGUGAUGUGUUCCCGUCCUUGAAGAACAGUGGCAAGCUUGAUGCACUGUUAUCACAGGGUAAGGAGUAUGUGUUUGUUGCCAACUCAGACAACUUGGGUGCUGUUGUCGACUUGAAAAUCUUGAGUCACUUGGUCCACAACAAGAAUGAAUACUGCAUGGAAGUGACACCCAAAACCUUGGC